GUUCCUGCACUGGGAACGAUUGUCCCCUGGGGUUGGGGCUCAGGAAUCUUAGAAGGAGGGGGUGGUGGUACUUGUCGAGGAGGAGUCUCCUGUACCUUGUCCGGCCCAGUAAGAUGGUGGGAGGGCUCUCAACCCUGAGGCAAAUGUGGAAAGUGAAGCCAUUGUCCCAUCCUUGCAUGUAAAAUCUGAGCCCCCAGGGCGCAAAUUUCAGGAAACAAAGGGGGC
rnacentral:lncRNA from 1 species